GACGAACGCUGGCGGCGUGCCUAACACAUGCAAGUCGAACGGAGUAUGACUUCGGUUAUACUUAGUGGCGAACGGGUGAGUAACGCGUGAGAAACCUGCCUUUCAGUGGGGGACAACAGUUGGAAACGACUGCUAAUACCGCAUAAUGUUAUUUGGGGGCAUCCCUGAAUAACCAAAGCUUUAUGUGCUGAAAGAUGGUCUCGCGUCUGAUUAGCUAGAUGGCGGGGGAACGGCCCACCAUGGCGACGAUCAGUCGCCGGUCUGAGAGGAUGAUCGGCCGCAUUGUGACUGAGAUACGGCCCAGGCUACUACGGGAGGCAGCAGUGGGGAAUAUUGGGCAAUGGGGGAAACCCUGACCCAGCAACGCCGCGUGAAGGAAGAAGCCCUUCGGGUUGUAAACUUCUUUUACCAGGGACGAAAAAAUGACGGUACCUGGAGAAAAAGCAUCGGCUAUCUGCGUGCCAUCCGCCGCGGUAACAC
rnacentral:rRNA from 1 species